ACCAUGCCCUACUUGAAAAUUAUAUUUUAAACAGUUAGUUAUGCAGUUAUUUGGUCACUGGCUCCCCUACUGGACGAUAGCUUUAUAACGGCAAAUGUCAUGUCUGUGAUUUCAGUGACACAGAAUGGGAACAGUACAAGUGUGUCAAUACACAUGCAAACUUCAUAGCAUGACCCGCAGUCCAGCUGGCGUCAGUUGCACCCGGCAGGCAGCAGGAAUUGCUUUUGGUGGUGACCGUGGCCUUGGCCAAGGCAUCUUGGCGUUGGAGGUUGGCGCUGCUUCUGAAGCCGAACUGGGUUCAGUCACACCCUGGAACUCACUGCUUUGAAAUCAUCACGUGGCACUCGAUAUAUCACAAGAGACAGAGUCUCACGAUGUAGUCCAAACUGGGCCUCAAAGUCGCAGUGACGGUCCUGCCUCAGCCUCCUGAGUGCUGGGGUUACAGGUGUAUGCCACCACGCCCGGCUUCCCCGCCCCUUCACCCUAAACAGUGUGUGCGGGACUUGUCCUUCUUGGUUCCCGUCACACCUCCUGCGGCCAGUGGCUGAGCAGUGCAGUGCUCCGUGUGUGUAUUUAAGAUGGUACAUGGGACGAGGGCGUUGCUUUGGAGUCAGGCCAACUUGUAGCACUCCUGCUCACUGUGUGACCUUAAUCUCCCUCUGCUUCAGUUUUCUUUUCAAAUGGGGCCAUCACUGCCUACCUCACAAGAUCUUUGUGGUAACUGAGACAAGUGUAGCCAAGACAGAAUGCUGACUGGCACCUAGUAGGUAUGUAACUAGUAGGGACAAGUUACUCCUCCCAGACUCGAGGGCCAGACCUAGUUGCGUUUCUCUGUAUCCCAGGGUCCAAUACAGGUUCUGGCUCAGCAAAUGUUGAAUUAAUGAAUAAAGGAUAAUGGACUAAUUUAAAAACUCCAGAUACAACGGCAGGCACAGUAGUACGUACCUGUAAUCCUAGCCACUGGAGGCUGAGACAGGAGGAUGGCCACAAGUUUGAAGUCA